GCCGCUGUGUUUUGGCUCAUCCGGCCUCGUGGUUGGUCACGGCCGGGCGUUCGGGGCGGGGCCGCGCACUCUGAUUGGCCUCCGGUGGUCCUGUUUGAACUCAACUUGAAAACCCGGAGUGCCUGCUGAUUGGCCGAGGGCCCUCUGUUUGCUGUUGUAGGCUUGGGGGUGGUGCGGCCAAGUUCAUUCAUUACUUCAUUGAAACAGAACAUGCUCAGCUGGAAAAGCAAGACAGAGUGGCUUUGACUCAUUUCCUCUGAAAGAUGUGGUCAUCUCGAGAAACAGAAUGAUCAAAAUAGAAAACAGAGCCUUUGCAGCUGCUCAAGUCUCAAAAGCAUGUAAUUUUUAAAAAUAACUUUCAAGCAGUCCAAUUUAAAAAAAUCUUUUAUUGAAAUAUAACGUACAUUAGGAAAGUGCGAUGUCGCAGGUACAGCUUCCAGACUUUUCACCAAGUGAACACCCAGAUCAAUUAACAGAACGUUACUUGCACCCUAGGAACCCGCGUCCUGCCCUCUUCUAAUCACUACCCACCGCAAGGAUCGAGCAGUAUUUUCUCAGUUUUUAGACCAAAGACUUUGCUCUCUGAAGAUGGAAGCCAAGAUUUAUGUACAAUAAAUACGAUAUGCAAGGAAAUAUGCAAGGAAAAAAGUGAGACUUUCUCAGUGGCCAAAAUGCCAAGUCAAGAAUUUUUUCUUGUUAAAUCGGUUGACCUAACUGAAGCUUUAAUUUUCUUUUUUUUUUUUUCUCUUGCUUGUCACGAAAGCUAAGAUGAAGCUUUAAUUUCUACCAUCUUUUAAAAAAACAACGGGUGGCAGUAGGGGUGGAGUCUGGGGUUGGGAUGGCUUACACCUAUAAUCCCAGCACUUUGGGAGGCCGAGACAGGAGGAUAACUUGAGGCCGGGAGUUCAACACCAGCUUGGGCAACAUAGCACAGACUCCAUCUCUACCAAAUAAAAACAAACAAUAACAAACAGUGAGUGUUUCUACAGAGAUACUGUUUCUCAGUGGUAGCCCUUUAAAGUCCAAAAUUUGGUGGUGGUGGUUGUUAGAUAGGGCUAGAGUGACAUGAUCAUGGCUCACUGUAACUUCGAGCGAUCCUCUUGCCUCAGCCUCUCGAGUAGCUGGGACUACAGGCACACACCACCAUGCCUGACUAAUUUUUGAAUUUUUGGUAGAGAUGAGAUCUCACUAUUGUUGCCCAGGCUGGUCUUGAACUCCUGGACUAAAGUGAUCCUCCUGCCUCAGCCUCCCAAAGCACAGGGAUUACAGGUGUGAGCCACCAUGCCUGGCCCCAAAUUUGUUUGUAUGUGCUGAGCUUCCAUCUUCUGGAUUAGAGUUUGAUCUUCAGGGCUGUGUUUGAGAAUUGUGGGGGUAGGAAAAGAACUAGGAGUUUAAGCAGAUUGGGGAAGGGGCAGAAGAGAUUGGGAAGAUAAAUAUUGUUAGGGAUUCACUGUUAAGAGUUUCUGUUUCAGGAGAACUUUGUGAGUUUUUUAUCUGAACUACUAAUUACAGAGUGUAUUUUAACCAGCUAAAGGUCUGCAGAACAGAAGGAGGCUUAUAAUAAGAAAGCACGUCGUGGUUCUAUCUUGACUUUGCCUAAAUUGGAUUUAACUCCCUAUCUAAGAAAACUUGACAGUAUGUAUUUUUAAAGUUUACAAACAAGAAGAAGAUUACAAUUAAUGUUAAUGUUUCUGUACUGAUGAAAAACAAAUUCAGGUACUAUCAUGAGCUCAUUCCAUUUGGUUCGUUUUUUGUUUAUUUGUUUGUUUUGAAGGAGUAGGAGUCAGCUUUUUCCUGGGAAUGGCCCUGAAGUACACGUGGGCUGGGACCUGGCGUGUGGCUGGAGACUCCAGUAUAGCUUGCAGCCUUCCCGUCCAGUAAUUGCAAGGUGAAAACAAAAGUGAGCAGCUGGCAGCAUACACUGCCAGGGAGCUCAGGCCGCAAGCAGCCCAGAAGAAGGAAGUACUGUCACUGUGGGGCUCCAGGUUUUCAUAAGUACAUGCGGGUGUCAAACAUGCCAGGGCCGUGAGUAGGAGGGUCUACCCUGGGGAGAGACAUUUCUGGCUGUAGUGGAAUGUCCCCUAUGAGCCCGUAGGUCUUAAUUCAGAAGUAAGUUCCCAAGGAAAGCAAGAGUCCAAAGUUGCCAAACCUGUUAUUUCCUGGAAAUCAAGGCAGUUUAUCCAGUUUAUGUAAUGUUUAACAAUUGCAGGGCCCAGCUGUGGGCACCUGGGCGGGGCAUGGAGGGCAAGGCCCCCAAGCCAGAGAGACUCAGGUACUAGUUAUCUUCUGUGGGCCUAAGGUCACUCAGGAAGAAGGAAGGAGAGCAACAGAGCCCGUGAUUUGUGGUCCUGAGACAUGGAAGUGCUUAAUCCAUAUUUUGGCUUCUGAGAAUCCGGUUGGAGAUGAGUAGCUGGGAAACUUAGGACUGUCCCACUCCUGGGAGAAUGAAUGAGGUCAUGUUUGUAGAGGGCUUUGAGCUGAUGGGAGGAAAGCAACUUCCUAAAUGCAAGAUCCAACAAAGCUGAAAGAUGGAAUCUGAGGGCUCUCAGAACUCCCAAUAGGCCCAAGGCUCAGAGAGGAAACAAAAUCCACUCAAGGUCAUGAACACUCGCUUUUCCCUGCUGACUGAUGGUAGCACUGGGAUUCGAUUCAGAUGCCAGGACAAAAGGACAAGGUGGCCAAGAGAAGUAGAAAGGUGUUGAGAGGAGAAGGAGAAUGGGAAAGGGCCAAUAAGAAGACAAUGAAAACAAGCAGCGCCAAGGCAGCUGGGCCAGGCUGGACUCACACACUCCCUGAAGGCUCGGGUCCAGGAGGCACUGGUGGUGCGAUGGUUUUCUUCUCCUUUUGAGGAUUUCCAACGCUAUUGCUAGCCUUUGUUUGUUUAACAUAACCUAUUUUUUGCUGCUAUUUUUCCUUGCAAAUUUAUGCUUUGUUUUUCUUUUUUUGGAGA
rnacentral:lncRNA from 1 species